GCCUGGGUGGCUCAGUGGUUGAGCAUCUGCCUUUGGCUCAGGUUGUGAUCCUGGGGUCCUGGGAUCAAGUCCCGCCUCAGGCU
rnacentral:tRNA from 1 species